AUGGAUCAAGCAAGCUUUACUAAGCUAGUAGUCACGCUAUGGGCGGUGUGGUACGCGAGAAGGAAGGCUAUUUACGAAUCGAUCUUCCAAAGUCCCCAACAUAUAGUGUCCUUUGUCACCAACUUCAUUGCCGAGUUGGGCCUCCUACAACCUAAUGGUACUCGCCAGGAGACCAGUUCUGCUCCGAGGUCGCGGGUCAAAAGGUGGCUUCCACCCCCAGCGGAAUGCGUGAAGAUUAACGUUGAUGGUGCUGUUGCUAGGACACAUUAUGGUGGAGCGGUCGCAGCUGUGUGUCGGGAUCAAACUGGCCUAUAUCUAGGAUCUUCGGCGGUGGUUCUACGGGGAAUUAAUGAUCCUCUGAUCUUGGAAACAUGCGCAUGCAGAGAAGCAUUGUCAUUAGCAGAUGAUCUGGCGAUCAGAGAGGUUUGGGUGGCUUCAGAUUGCCAGGAGGCAAUCAAUGACAUCAACAGAGGGACAGGAGGUCCAAAUGCUUCUAUAGUACAUGAAAUAACGACCCAGUGUAUUAGUUUUAUUUCUAGUUCUUUCAUACACGAGCGUAGGUAUUUUAAUGUUGAGGCUCAUAAUCUCGCCAAGUUUGCAUGUAAUCUUGAGGUAGGUAGACAUCUUUGGUUGGGUAAUCCUCAUGACCCAAACCUUGUACCUAUGAUGAUUGCUUUGGAUGAAUAA
rnacentral:rRNA from 1 species